rnacentral:rRNA from 1 species
GUCCACGCUGUAAACGAUGGAUGCUAGCCGUCAGCAAGCAUGCUUGUUGGUGGCGCAGCUAACGCAUUAAGCAUCCCGCCUGGGGAGUACGGCCGCAAGGUUAAAACUCAAAGGAAUUGACGGGGGCCCGCACAAGCGGUUGAGCAUGUGGUUUAAUUCGACGCAACGCGAAGAACCUUACCAGCCCUUGACAUGGCCGGACGGUUUCCAGAGAUGGAUUCCUCCUAGCAAUAGGUCGGCACACAGGUGCUGCAUGGCUGUCGU